rnacentral:rRNA from 1 species
UACAGAGGCCUCAAGCGUUGUUCGGAUUUAUUGGGCGUAAAGGGUGCGUAGGCGGUACCGAAAGUUAGGUGUGAAAGUUCGAGGCUCAACCUCGAAAUUGCACCUAAUACUCCGGUGCUUGAGUCUCAUAGAGGAAUCUGGAAUUCACGGUGUAGCAGUGAAAUGCGUAGAUAUCGUGAAGAAGGCCUGUGGCGAAAGCAAGAUUCUGGGUGACGACUGACGCUGAGGCACGAAAGCCAGGGGAGCAAACGGGG